CUGGUUGCUAAAGACACGGGCUGCUGCUGCUGCUGCUGCUGAUGCUGCUGGGGCGGAGGGUCCAGGCCAUGCUCGCCUUGCAUCAGAUGAUCAUGCCUUUCUGCAGAGACCCACGUUUUGGAGUCACUGGGAGCAGACACGCUCUGAUUCCAGUGAUCGAGGGCAGAGAUGAGCCCUGCUGUUGAUAAGACUGAAGAGCAAAGGCCCAGCUGGACCUUGAC